rnacentral:rRNA from 1 species
GAGUUUGAUCUUGGCUCAGAUUGAACGCUGGCGGCAGGCCUAACACAUGCCAAGUCGAGCGGAUGACGGGAGCUUGCUCCUUGAUUCAGCGGCGGACGGGUGAGUAAUGCCUAGGAAUCUGCCUGGUAGUGGGGGACAACGUUUCGAAAGGAACGCUAAUACCGCAUACGUCCUACGGGAGAAAGCAGGGGACCUUCGGGCCUUGCGCUAUCAGAUGAGCCUAGGUCGGAUUAGCUAGUUGGUGGGGUAAUGGCUCACCAAGGCGACGAUCCGUAACUGGUCUGAGAGGAUGAUCAGUCACACUGGAACUGAGACACGGUCCAGACUCCUACGGGAGGCAGCAGUGGGGAAUAUUGGACAAUGGGCGAAAGCCUGAUCCAGCCAUGCCGCGUGUGUGAAGAAGGUCUUCGGAUUGUAAAAGCACUUUAAGUUGGGAGGAAGGGCAGUAAGUUAAUACCUUGCUGUUUUUGACGUUUACCGACAGAAUAAGCACCGGCUAAACUCUGUGCCAGCCG